UCCCAGGCUGACCACAGAAAGAAAUGUCCCA
rnacentral:piRNA from 1 species